rnacentral:rRNA from 1 species
CCUACGGGAGGCAGCAGUGGGGAAUAUUGCGCAAUGGGCGGAAGCCUGACGCAGCGACGCCGCGUGAGGGAUGACGGCCUUCGGGUUGUAAACCUCUUUCAGCAGGGAAGAAGCGGAAGUGACGGUACCUGCAGAAGAAGCACCGGCUAACUACGUGCCAGCAGCCGCGGUAAUACGUAGGGUGCAAGCGUUGUCCGGAAUUAUUGGGCGUAAAGAGCUCGUAGGCGGCUUGUCGCGUCGACUGUGAAAACCCGCGGCUCAACCGCGGGCCUGCAGCCGAUACGGGCAGGCUAGAGUUCGGUAGGGGAGACUGGAAUUCCUGGUGUAGCGGUGAAAUGCGCAGAUAUCAGGAGGAACACCGAUGGCGAAGGCAGGUCUCUGGGCCGAUACUGACGCUGAGGAGCGAAAGCGUGGGGAGCGAACAGGAUUAGAUACCCUGGUAGUCCACGCUGUAAGCGUUGGGCGCUAGGUGUGGGGGACCUCUCCGGUUCUCUGUGCCGCAGCUAACGCAUUAAGCGCCCCGCCUGGGGAGUACGGCCGCAAGGCUAAAACUCAAAGGAAUUGACGGGGGCCCGCACAAGCGGCGGAGCAUGCGGAUUAAUUCGAUGCAACGCGAAGAACCUUAC